GGGGCCGGGGGGUGGUUAGUGCGGGCCGGGGGCUCGCAGGCGUCUUUUUCAGCUUGGCUGCUUGUCUAUUCAAGGGUGGGCUUUUUAAUGUCUUCUCUCCGUAAUCUCCUCUCCAGCACUUUUCCUUUUCGGUGGCUCCUUAGGCCUGCCCAGAGCGCACCCUGGAGCCUGGAGCUCCCUGGGAGAGGUGGCGACGACGGGGUGGGGGUUGGGAAGGGAGCGCACUCCGCUGCAGUCGCCCGCCGAUCGCAGCCCCAGGCGCACGGCGCUUGCCUGCUCUGCUGAGGACACGUGCUGGGGAAGAACGGGGGAAGCAUCCCGCCUUCCAAGGAGAGGCUCCCCGAGUGCCCCCGGGCUCUCCAGGACUUCCCUGGGCUCGGAGCGGGAGCUGCGGAAUCCCGCGUCGCACUGCCAGGCCUGCUCGCCGCUCAAACCCGGUUGCCAAAGCCUCGCCCCCAACCCUGCCCGGCGACGAUUUGGCAAUUUCAGGCUGCUGGAGCGCCAUCCCUGGACCGUAAGGCGUGAGUGAGGCUCCCUGUGCUUUCACCCCUGCGCUCCCGCUCGGGGCCGGGAGACUGGCUGAGCACAACCAGGCCGGGUAGCCAGGGAUGGCCUUGGCCGGAGAGGCGGGGAGAAAGGGCAGGCCGCGCGGCUCCGGAAACCGCGGACCUGCCGGGUGGAUCACUGACCCCCCAAGGUCACGGAGUGUGGGGAAACCACCGACUCACGCCAAAGCAGAGGCCACCGCUCCAGUCGGAACCCUCCUGGGGGGUGCGUAGUUCCACAAAGGAGCCCAGAGGAUACCAUAGAAGACUUAGCUCGGAGCCACUACUAGUCCCAACACUGCCCUCCAUCAAAGGGGCGCGUUUUCACUUAGCCUUGGCGCCCACAUUGCGAGCGCUGGGGCAGGGCCUCCUGGAGUCCUCAGCACACGUAUGUCGGGGCGCUAGUGUA